UACGGGGGGGGCAAGCGUUGUUCGGAAUUACUGGGCGUAAAGGGCUCGUAGGCGGCCAACUAAGUCAGACGUGAAAUCCCUCGGCUUAACCGGGGAACUGCAUCUGAUACUGGAUGGCUUGAGUUCGGGAGAGGGAUGCGGAAUUCCAGGUGUAGCGGUGAAAUGCGUAGAUAUCUGGAGGAACACCGGUGGCGAAGGCGGCAUCCUGGACCGAGAUUGACGCUGAGGCGCGAAAGCGUGGGGAGCAAACAGG
rnacentral:rRNA from 1 species